UCGGCCGUGUUGGAAGCAUAUUAUUAUAGUUUUUGACUCAGCAUAUUAUUAAAUUAUAGUUAAUAUAAAUAUAAUUUUUGUUAGACCACGGUGUAGAGAAUAUAAUAUCUUCUCUACAUCGUGGGUCAGACGUUCGUGAGCGACAAGGUCCAAUCACCAGCCAAUCCAAUCACCAUUCAAUCCAUGCCAGAGCCCACCGUCAACCUGAAGCGGCUUUCGAAUCUUCGUGAAACCAGAGGAUCCUGUGCCUAAAUCAAAAUUUAGCCAUUACCUAUAUUAUUGGUUGGGGAUAAAUACACAGUUGAUAGCGGCCGGCAGACUCGUCGUGUAUCCUUCAGCAGAUAGAUUUCCAACUAUAGCUUCAUUCCAACAUAUCAAACACCAUCACUCAAUGAGUCAAGGCAGCAUUCUCGUAACGGAGUUGGGAUCAACCAAGAACGGCGAUCGGCUGUCGAAAACUUUGUUUAGCCGUAAAACCAACACUAGCCAUCGCCACCAAUCAACUUUGGUGUUUUCGUUCUUGAUUUCCUUGAAAUCGAUUUUUCUGAUUUUGAUACUAAAAUAUAGAUAUUAUAUAAAUAAAGUGAAAGAACCAGGAAAUCAUUUAAUGAUUUUUCGGUUCUUUCACUUUCUUUGAAAUACUCCUCUUAUCUAAUCCUUUUAUUUUGGUUACUUGCUCCAUAAAACAUGUCACCGUCACGGUUCAGUCACAGUAUAGUGGCACCCAUCGUCUUCCCUUUCUCAGCAUUUCCAGUCAAAUUCUAUAUAUCCUGCCGUCCAUAAACUAAGUUAAUCGAGAAAAAGAGACGUUCUCGGUAUUUACUUGAGCCCAAUAUUACUGAGGACGGUGGUCGGCCUCCGAAAUCGUUUGUGGAACUCGUGGAGGCAGCUUGUCGUUUGCGGACGGAUGUCGAGUACGUUGCCAGUGGUUUAGAAUGCGGUUCGGCGACGGAAUUUCACGGGCAUACAAUAUCAAGUUUCGCCGACAGAACUGUUGAAAUACCUGUAAAUACUACCUAGAGUAUAUACCUAUCGGCGUAAGAUGUAUAAUUUGUAACGAUGAUAUAUCUUCACAAUUUAUUGGUUUGCUUCUUAUCGUUGGAGAGAUGUAACUCCCUACUUCUAAACCAUCCAAAGUCACUUCCUCGACAGAACUUCUGGAAAAACUGAGAACACGCAUCCAUCAUCAUUAAACAGAGUACGAGUAGAUGAUAGUAUUAUGAUGGCCAUCGAGUGGUUUAUGAAAUCAAUAAAUCUAAUUUAUCAGCUUCGAAGAGACAGAUCCUGAGCCCUGUUUCAGAAGUUAAAUAAAAGAUCGAAAGCGUUUACAUACUCUGUGCAUGUGAAAGAUGAUUGCAAACUCCAAAAGAAGUACCCAAGAAAAACAAGAACAAGCUAGUAUUGGCAGGUAGUCCAAUAGUUUUGUGAGCGAUACUCGAUAUUGUUUUGCCCGUAAAAUUCCGUGGUCGAACCACAUGCUCAACCACUGGCAACGUACUCGACGUCCGUACGCAAACGGCGACCUGCAUUCGAGAGCGUCACAAACGAUUUCGGAGGCCGAUCACCGUCCUCAGUAAUAUUGGGCUCAAGUGGAUUACGAGAAUGUCCCUUUUUCUCGAUAAACAUAGUUAAUGGGCGGGAGGCUGCAUAGAAUUUGGCUGGAAAUGCUGAGAAAGGAAAGACGAUGGGUGCCACUAUACCGUGACUGAACCGUGACGGUGACAUGUUUUAUGGAGCAAGUAACCAAAAUAAAAGGAUUAGAUAAGAGGAGUAUUUCAAAGAAAGUGAAAAAACCGAGAAAUCAUUAAAUGAUUUCUUUGUUCUUUCACUUUACUUAUAUAAAAUCUAUGUCUUAGUGUCAAAACUAGAAAAAUCGAUUUAUUAUUCUCAAAGGAAUUACAAAAUUAAUUAUUUAUCGCCAAUAGUGUUAAAUGAGAUAACGAAAUUUGUUUUGCUCGUCCUGAACAAUUAUUGAUAAAAAUGGAGUUAUCUUGUUCUUGAACAGAGCCCUUCAUUUUGUGGGCGAUUUAUUAUGUAUUUAUUUAGUAAAAGUUGUGGGAAAAAAUAAUUCUUUGUAGUUGCCACAAAUCAAGUAUGAUUUUUGCCCGAGAUUCUCUUGUACCUAUUUAGUUAUUACAUGUAUGUACAGUAUUGUGGGUAUAUUGUAAUUGAUAUUUAUUUAGAAGAAAUGUUACAUAGGGAUACAAUGUUAUAGUAUGUAAGGUAGUAGUAAUUCUGUUUAAUUUAAAAUUAAUAAUGUAAUUGUUACGGACUGCACAUAUGAUGUGACACCGUAACAAAGUAUAAUACAUAUAAUUAUUUAUAAUAACUAAUGAGGCGAAUAUUGCUCACUAGACAUAUUAUAGUCGUCCAGGUACACACAUA